rnacentral:rRNA from 1 species
CAUGGGAAUAUUUGUUAAAGAUUCAUCGCUGAUAGAUAGGCAUGCGUUCCAUUAGGCAGUUGGCGGGGUAACGGCCCACCAAACCGACGAUGGAUAGGGGUUCUGAGAGGAAGGUCCCCCACAUUGGUACCGAGACACGGACCAAACUCCUACGGGAGGCAGCAGUGAGGAAUAUUGGUCAAUGGCCGAGAGGCUGAACCAGCCAAGUCGCGUGAAGGAAGAAGGAUCUAUGGUUUGUAAACUUCUUUUAUAGGGGAAUAAAGUGGAGGACGUGUCCUUUUUUGUAUGUACCCUAUGAAUAAGCAUCGGCUAACCCCGUGCCAGCAGCCGCGGUAAUACGGAGGAUGCGAGCGUUAUCCGGAUUUAUUGGGUUUAAAGGGUGCGUAGGUGGUGAUUUAAGUCAGCGGUGAAAGUUUGUGGCUCAACCAUAAAAUUGCCGUUGAAACUGGGUUACUUGAGUGUGUUUGAGGUAGGCGGAAUGCGUGGUGUAGCGGUGAAAUGCAUAGAUAUCACGCAGAACUCCGAUUGCGAAGGCAGCUUACUAAACCAUAACUGACACUGAAGCACGAAAGCGUGGGGAUCAAACAGGAUUAGAUACCCUGGUAGUCCACGCAGUAAACGAAGAUGACUAGGAGUUUGCGAUACAAUGUAAGCUCUACAG